ensembl:snRNA U6 U6 spliceosomal RNA
GUACUUGCUUGGGCAGCACAUAUACUGAAAUUAGAAUGAUACGAGAAGAUUAAUAUGGCCCCCAUGUGAGUGUGAUGCCCAAAUUUAUGAAGCAUUGCAUAUUAAA